AAAAAUAUUCACAAGGCGACAUGUGGAUUUUUCACAAAAGAAGACAAAACUACCCUUGGAGCAUACCGGGAUCCUUACGCGCAAGCAACGGACAAUUAUCCCUCAACCAAGUCAAAAGUGCCCAAAAUAGAUAUCAACUUAAAACCUAAUUUAUUCAUAUAUUUCCUAUUUCAUUAUUUAGCUAAUCAAUUAGCUAAAUACUAUACUUAUUCCAUAAUUCCUAAAACAUUACUUUAGUCUAAAGAAAGCAUUGCAAUUGGCACUGUUCUUUACUGUUCAUUAUUUUUGGACCCCAAUUUCACUCUAUUUACGGACUUGCCAUUCACUAAGGAUUUCGGCUGGGCUUUUUUCUUUUCAGAUUUAGUUGUAUGGGCUUUUGCGGGUUUGGGCUGUGACUGGGUUGGUGGGUUUUGUUUGUGGUUGGGUUUUUCGGAUGGAUGGCGACACGGGCAGGCCUAGCCUGCAACGAUGCCAGCGAGAAGAGAUGGAAGGUGUCGUGUGAUGCGAGAGAGAGAAGAGAGAGAGGAGUCGUCCGAUGGCAGAGAGAAGAAAGAGGGGUCGUGCGAUGCCAGAGAGAAGAGAGAGCAGGACUCCUGGAAGGAAAAAUUGGAGGAGAGAGGGAGGGGUAGGAUGAGCAAAGCAAUAGGUAGGGCUGCCCGGAAUUUGGCUUUUCUUUUUUCUCGAUGAGGUAUGCUUAGAGAAGCGGUGAGGCAUGAAGGGACGCCCAAACCGAGGGUUGGUUUCAGAGAUUUGGUUCCAGCUGGAAGCUAUCUCUGCAAGCAUUGAUGAGGAUUUCUCCCAACUGGCAGCUUGAAUUCCUUUCAAAGCUAAGUGUCCAUUUUGAACCGAAUUUUCCCUUAUUUCACUGUUUCUGGUUUGAACCUGCUUAGAAACCUAUUUGUUUUCCUGCUUUGUUUUCUGUCUGGUUCUGGUUCGGUUAUUCAACUUUUAGUUGGGAGUGCAAGAUAUUUUUUAAAUUAUUAAAUUGGGACAGAAAAACAGAUAUUUUGUGCUGCUUUCUUCACUGUCUGAUAAUACCACUUGCUCUUCCUUUCUCUUUUUCUUCCUGUUGUGUUGGUCUUUCAGUAUUAUAGCUUCUCUGCAGAAAUCAAACUGUAUGCAAUUUGCUCCUUUUUGUUCAUUACCCUAUUAUUUGGUUCCUCUUUUUUUUGUUCAUGGCUUAUUGUUUUUUGUUGUGGUGAUGACCGUGUGAAUUAAAUACUCAGUUAUCCAUUCCUCUAAAAUACAUGAUGCGUCUGAUUCUUUUUCGUUCACAGAUGAUGGUGCAUGGUUGAGGUUUAUAUGCUAUCCCUCUGUUGGUUGUUUUAUGAUUGUAAUUUUUUGUUUUAAAACGUGUAUGUUGUGUGUGAUGUACAAAUUAGAGCAGAGGUUUGUACAUGCGGUUUUAAAUUGAGGGGGAGCCAUAAUUUUGUUAUCAGAAAAAAAUUUGAUUGAGGUUUCAUCUGGUUGUGUUACGGUUGCACAAUCUGUGGUUCGCAGCGACUGUGAUCAUUUCCUGACAAAUGUAUGGAGCUGUGUUCUUUUUGUUGGGGAAUUAUGGUUGGUGAUAUUAACAAUGGAUUGAGUCUUUCUGUUUGGUAUGAUUAUAUCGUUGAACAAGCAUGGUUUUAAAGUGGAUGCAGAUGACAAUUUUGUUUGCACGAGAAAAUGGUUGAGUUAGUGGUUUUUAAUCGUUUAAUUGUUGUGCCUUUGCUAUGAUCCCUGUUCCAGCGGUGUUUGAUUGGCGCAAAUAGAUUUUCAUUGUUGUUUCUCAGCUGUUAUUUUCGUUGCUGUUCUGUGAGUUAGUGUUAAUGGCUUUGCUGUGUUUGCGAUUUUCAGGAACUUGGAUCGUUGGACAUAGCACUUGGCCCUUUGGCUUUUGAGGUGAUUUUGGAUUCAAUCCAGAAGUUCCUAUUUCUCAGAUUGGUGUUGUCUGUUCCUUUGUGGUAGUGAGAUUGUUGGGAUGAGUGGGUAGGGUUGGAUCGUCUGAUGAAAAACACUGACGAGAAUAAGAAGAAGCACGAGUACCUCAACCAGAAACAGGGAACAGACAAGAAUGCAAAGCUAAUACACACAACACAUACUAAACCAAAAAGUUAUCAUGGUUGGGUUUAUCAUCUUUUAACAUUUCUUUUGUUGUUGCCCAAUCAUGAAAUUUGGAUUUAUUCUUGAAUGUUAGAUGUAGGGUGUGGAAUUCUAGCAUGUGACAUGAACCAUCCUAUUUUUCGGCGAGCUUUGGGGUUUAACGGUCCUACCCUUCAUAGGGGUAAAUAUAAUGGAUAUGGGAUACUGAAAAAGUAACAAGCGUCAAGAGGGAAGAAGCGAAAGAAUGACUCUGUCUGUAAGAUGGGUUUCUGUAAUGCGAAUUUCGUGAGGCUCAUAACGCUGAUUUGAUUCUCUCAUAAGAAAGGAUCUCCUCUCUGGCUUUCUGGGCCAAGUCAUCGAAGCUCUCUCUAGAGAGAAAGUGGCAGCAGUAGUGGGGAAGGAAGAAGGACUAUUCAUGUUUCUGUUAUCAUUUCUGCCAUUCGAAGCUCUGGGGGUUUGGCUUUGGCUCCGUUAGCUGUUGAGGGAGAAUAUGACGGAAAUUGAGGAGGAAGCCCAUGCUUGCAGAGAGUUAGUGAGAUCUGAAGCCCAUGCCUGGAUGAACUCAUUUAAUUUGAGCACACAGAGCUCAAAUCUGGUGUUCAAAAAUAAGGCGGAGGCCACAAAGUUCUCAUAUUUAAUUUUCAUGGGCCGUGCAAAAAAAUUUUGGACUUUUUGUGAUCCCACAACCCCUCCCCCACAUAUAAUUGGCUUUAAAGGGUUCAGGGUUCUAUUCUUUUAUUAUUUGUUUCUCUCUUUUGGACCAAAAGGCAGAUUUUGUUCAUUAUUUCAAAGUAUUAUUAUUAUUUUUAGAAAUUUGAAAGAUUGUUUCAAACAUUGAUAUAUAAACGCAGUGCAAUUUGGCAUAUCAAAUCAACCUGCAGCUUCCUUGGGACUCUAAUUCUUAGGAAUGCUCGACAAUUGGUCUUAUUAAUGGUUGUCUUCCAGAGGAAUUAAAGAAGUUCUUGGUAUAAGGAGCUAUAGCUCCAUUGAAGAAGUGAGAGGCAUACGACAAUAUUUCUUCAGUCUGGAAUUCAGACAGGCAGGAUGCAGAUACUUCUGACUUUAUCAAGGUUAGUGAAUUAUGUGGUUUCUCCACGGGGUGCAGUUUUAUUGGUGCUACUGUUACGUCUCUCAUUAUUAUUAGCUUUUCUUUCUCUUUGUUCAUAUUUUUGUCUUCGAGGAUGAAUCAUUGGAAGCAUAAUAUGUUUUUGCAUCAUGCUUUUCUUUUUCCCACUAAAGUGGCAUCAAUAGUUAUUAUAUUCCUCCUCUACAAACCUCUUUAUACGAACAACUGAUGGACUUUACGGUGUACAAGCAAACUGGUUAUGAGAGUAUUAAGUGGGUUUCUAUAAGACAAGGUGAUAGAUUAGCAAGUCUGAACUCAGUUUCUUCCUACUAAUUGUGCAAUGUCUUUACAUGUUAGCUUAGUUGAAUGUAUAUAAAAGUCAAGCUGCUUAUCUUAUCGACCUCAUUCACU